CUGCUACCAACAGUUUAAAGUGUCAAACAACAACAAACAAACUUUUAAACUUCUCGAAACCAUUUUCUCUGGGGACAGGUGGUCAUGGGAUCAUCAUAUCAUCGUGGUGCAACGAAAUUUUCGUUGCAAUAGCCAAAAUGGCUAGUUAGUGCAACGAAAUAUUUCGUUGCAAUAGAUUUCACCGCUGAUACCAAGAGGCUACUGGGGUUGUUGAUUGAAGAUGUCCGAUUCACAAGAGAUUGCAGUGUUAACAGCAAUAUAUCUCUUCAAGCCACUGUUCCAAACCCAGUUGAAACAAAUAGAGUCAAUCUGCUUGAAAAAAUCUUACCCAUUCUGACAUCAUUUGUUCAGUUUAUGUGUGUCUCCAAAAGCAAUGUGACUAUAGUAGCCCAGUUGAACAACAAGUUGGUCCAUGCUUUUGUUAACAAUCUGAGUUUAGACGGCAGCAUUUUACCACGCUCACAGAUUGCACGCUAAGGUCUGAUAGAUGUGUUUUCAUGUCAAAUUCUUCAGACCGUAGCUUCUACUGAAAGAGAUGGAAAGGUCAACCAGCAAUCACAAUUUGUCGAAUCACGAACGAAAACUUGGCAGCCGUGUUUAGCAGAGUUUUCAGUUGGAGUUCAAACAGAAAUUCACGUUGACCCAGUUUUACCGGCCAUCACGAUGAUUCACGAGCAAUGGUCAGCGGACAUCCAAGAACUAGUUUCGAGUUGAAUUUGCCACGCUGCGCAUUACUUUUUGACGGACAUUCCAUCAUUGAAGCUGAAGGAUUAAAUAUUAGCUAGCUGAUAACGAUCUUGAUCUUAAACAGGAAAGAAUCAGUUUCGAUUGCGAGGCUGCCACAAACAAAUGUGGACUAGUCAUCAGCAUUGCGCGUUUGCUUCCCCUACCGUUACCAGUUUUCCGAAGCCUGCCAACAGGAGAUGGUGAGCGUCUUCAAGUGGCUAAAAUCGCUGCACAAAAAGCCUCGGCUUCCUGGACAAAUAGAGCCACUUUAUCGUGACGUUCGUCUGUCAGUUGCACUAUUUUCUAUGGUGCUUUGUGACGACCCAUUUGAAGUCAAGCUCCGUGAUAACUACGAAUUGCGCGAAGAUGAAUUUCAUGAGAGUCUCAAACGUAAGCGUACGUUGGACGCUAAAAUUGAAGAACUCCGAAGAACGCACCCACCUCUGACGCAAGGUUAAAUGAGGCCAUGAAAGUAGCCCCACCUGGUAGGGAUGUGCGAAAGGUUUUGCUGAAAGCCAUCGAAGAGACCGAAAGUGCCCAUCAACGGCUCCCUGGAACUUCCACCCUGGCCUUAAUGGAAACAUCUUCUGACACCAUCCAAGACUGCUGCAGCAGCGGAGUUGGUUCCAGUUCGACCUCCACUUCCGAACGAGGUUAACCCCCUUUGCUGGGCACCACUGUUCGUUUGACCGUGCCUCUAGUGAAAUAAUUGUUAAGAUAUUUAGUUGAAUGUAAUUUUCGUCUUAUAACUUACCGUAAAUCUUGUAAUUGGCGUGCUUCGUUCUUCGAGAUAAUUUGUUUUCUUCAUCUGCUUUGGCGUCGGAUCAAAUUCUCAGUAGACGUCUUAUAACUGAAAUUCUAUCAAUUUUAGAACCAGCUCUUGAUGAUUAUUAACUUAUUGGCGAUUCAAUCAAAUAAUGAAAUUUUUAAAAGGUAUCUUAUAUUAAAAAAGCGUGACGGUUUAUAGAAACAAAAUGUUUUCAUUAAGUGACAUGUAAAAGAAAUCAAUGAAAUUAUAGAACUGAGUCGCAUGGACUAGGGUGUAGUUAUUCUCAGCA
rnacentral:lncRNA from 1 species